rnacentral:rRNA from 1 species
GUUGGUGAGGUAACGGCUCACCAAGGCGACGAUGCGUAGCCGACCUGAGAGGGUGAUCGGCCACACUGGGACUGAGACACGGCCCAGACUCCUACGGGAGGCAGCAGUAGGGAAUCUUCCGCAAUGGACGAAAGUCUGACGGAGCAACGCCGCGUGAGUGAUGAAGGUUUUCGGAUCGUAAAACUCUGUUGUUAGGGAAGAACAAGUACCGUUCGAAUAGGGCGGUACCUUGACGGUACCUAACCAGA